ensembl:lncRNA
GAGGCUAAGAUUAGGUUUAGGUUAGAGUAUCUGAAACAUGGAAUUCUGGGUUUCUGUCCUCACAAGAAUAGAAAAUUGUGUGUGUGUGUGUGUGUGUGUGUGGCUCAGUUAGAUGUGGAAGGUGGAGUUUAGCAAUGAGGCGAGUACUGUGUGUGUGUGUGUGUGUGUGUGUGUGUUUCUUUAAAGAGCUUGGUAGUGUAUGGCACAUUUUUGUAGUGUGCUCUCUAACUGCAGUUUCACUGUUUACUAUCAAUCUAAACCCCUUUUCCAUACACUCCUUUCAAUCUCUUCGUGGUCAUCAUGUGUUCCAGAACACCUUGACCUGUCAUGUGACGAAAAAUGGUCUGCCAGAGGCUGAGAGGUUGACCCUGGGCGUGGUGAGAGUGUGGGGUGCCGGGAAUGUUCUCAUCACAGAUAUUAUCCUACGUGAAAAUUCGGGCACAGAGAAAAAGAUAACUGGCAGUCAUAACCUUGACACACAGGAGCUGAUUGCUGAUGCCACUGCCUUAUCAGUACGCGUGGACCAGGGCUUCACGCUCAUAUGGAAAACCAGCAUUUAAUCGUAAUGACAGUUCAUUGAAUGUGUAAUUUUAAUGACAACUAUCACAGCCCAGUACAGUCUAAAACAUGAUUUGUGAAAAUGAUUGUAAGAAAAAAACAUUAUUUCAGCCUGUUUGCAUUGGAAGAUAAUUUUUUUUCAAACUGUAUGAUGUCUCAAUUAAUAUCCACCAAUUACUGUUUAUUCUGAUAAUAGGUUAGGCUCUAAACCCUCCAGUCAGAUUUUCCAGCACCCAUAUGGUCAUGCUAAACAAAACAAUUAACAAUUUAUUUUCGAAUGCAUUUUUAUUUACUUAGUAUAUUCAUACAUUAAUCAUUUCUUUAAUAAACAUACAUGAAAAUAAAUGUUUUUGUUUUCCCCUAUAGCCUAUUUCUUGUGAAACCAGAAAAGGAACCAGGCAAGCCUAGUUCAGCCGGCCUUCAAUUAAGUGAUGUGUUGUUGCCCUCAAUGGAUUAAAACUUAGGUCUCCCAUAUGAGUGGCUGUGUCCUUAACCACUACAUCAUAAUGUAAUACAUCUCCCCAGUGUAUACCAUCUCGAUCAUCUUGAUCAUUAGAUCAUCUUGUCACACAUCAACAUCAUGCCAAGUCUGAAUAUUAAGCAUUGUGUUAAACUGACUGUUUCUUAAGUUUACCACCACCAGAAAUGGCAACUAUGAACUGUAUGGCUUUUGCCACUGGUUGUUUUAACAGCUUAUAAGCCAGUUAUAGGCUUACAAGUAUCUACUAACUUACUAGUUGGAACAGUCAUAAAAAUUAAGCAAUUGCUAGCGAGACUGAAUAUGAACUUUACACUGCAAAAGCUAUUUCAUUUCAUGGCACAUUUCAUUUGUGAAUGACAUUGAUACAAUAACUAACAAUUUAGGUGAUGAUAACUGAAGUGAAAAGACGAGAGAAUCGUGGAAACCCCUACUCUUUUACUGCCCAAGGGGUUGUGAUCUAGCCUAUUUUACCCCAAAAGGCAUGCACUGAUGCAUACUUAGAAAAUCCACCAGAAAUAGUCGCAUUUAUAGUCGCAUUUAAAAACAUUUAUUUUAGGCUUACUAUAACACAGCUACUGAAGGUUGUAGCCAGUGAAGAUUUUGUCUAUCAAAUCCAAAUAAAUCAUUUGCUUUGACUGUGACAAUAUCCGAAUGUGGGACCUAUUGGUUGCAGGUCCGCGUCUCUAAUCACAACGCUAUUUAACACUGUCCAGCAAAAAAACUAAGAGUUCAGGGAUGUAAGAGAGAGAGACGAUUGAGGUGAACCAAUGUGUAAUUUGUUCCCUAAAUAACAAAGAUGAUGAGAUUUUGUUUGCUGGAGUGGAACUGAGUGCUGAAAACUUUUCCGGUGUCUGAGUGUUAUGCUAAGGGAAGGGAAGCAGUUUGUGAGUAUGUUUGUUGCGUGUGUGAGGAAUUGAAUUAGACCCUAAUUAUGAUUCUCACCUGCGGUGAGUCAUCUACCUGAGCAUCACACCUCAUUAAACUCUCCAUACAAUGAUACAAUAAUCAAUUAUUCAUUCUACUGUAAACAUAAUAUUAAUUUAGCCAUAGGUACCAGAAAUUGAUUUCCGCUCUUAUCUUCAUUUGCGGGGGUGGAAUAUUGUCUGUGCAAACUAUUUAUUUUGGGUGUUUAUGUGACUCCAACAACUUUCCAAAAUAUAUGAAUGGGAUGAAAAGGUAAAAGGACAUGAUGACAAAAAGAGCAAUAAAUAUACUGAGUAUG